rnacentral:lncRNA from 1 species
CAGCCCUGCAGGACAGUCUGAUGCCUGCACAAGUGUGAGCACAGUGAGAAGCUCUGCUAUGAACAGAACCUUGAGUCCUGCCUCCUCAGGCUCUUGGCGAUACCUGAAGAGUAAGAAGAUGAUUAUCUUUCGACUCCCAUCCCUGAAAAAACUGCCAAGAGAGUAGGGGGAACCAGCACAUGGCAGGGGAAGGGGCAGCAACCUGCCCUUCUGAGUAGUGACAGCUCAAAUCAGUUGGGAGCAGCAGGCUAAGGCAGUGGUUCUCAGUGUGUAGACCCUGACCAUUGGCAUCAUUUGGGAACUAAGUAGAAAUGCAAAUUCCUGGCCCCACCCCAGACAACUGCCUCAUAAAUUCUGGGGGUAGGAACUAGUAACUGGGGCCAUGCUGCACAUGCUGUGGUCUGGCACAAUAGCAGAAGCAUCACCUGGGAGCUUCUUAGAAAUUCAUGUCUUAGGCCCCAUGCCAGAUCUACUGACCUAUUCACAAUCUGCACUUUAAUAAAAUCCCGGGCGACUGGUAAGCACAUUAAAGUUUAAAAAGUACUGGUGUAGAGUCAAGGAUGCAAAAGCCAAAUCACGGGGCAGGAGAAGAGAACAAGAUUUUAAUGAGGUUUUCAGCUUAAGCUCCCAACAUGUAAGUUACAAUUUGGAGAGUGAGGCUGGAGUGAGGAAAUAGAUUGAAACCUGGAGAGAGGUAAAGAAAUCUCCCAGGAGCCCGAAGCACCUGUUUCUAUAUGCUCUGCCCUCGUUAACCUUCUGCUAGCUCAUUGGUGAACGCCAUUGUGCUUAGGUACUUGCCUGGGCCUGGACCAUCACUAGGGACUUAUUGUAUCUCAUUCCACUACAUGUAGCUUCGCUAGCAACCUUUUCAGAUCUGCAUUAAAUUUCUGGCCAAACUUCUUUUGAAAUUCUUCUCACAGCAGGGCAAGACUCCCUAGAUGUCCACAGAAGGUCAUUUCUCAGCCCAAACAGGUAGCAGCCUAGGAUCAAUAAGGACCAAAUGAACGCUGAGCAUUUAAACCUGUGGCUGGGGUGUGAAUAAGUAGUUGGAGAAAUUGUAAAAAGGUCAGGUAGCAAGUACUAGCUUUGUAACUAGCAAAAGCACUUGUAUAUAUUUGGCAUUUUGCAGAACCUUCAAGCUUAGUUUGAUUACUUAUUAAAAUUAUGGUAGGCCAGUGGGGAGAAUCAUGAUAAUUUGUAUAGGUCACAGAUAAUCAG